rnacentral:rRNA from 1 species
AUUGAACGCUGGCGGCAUGCCUUACACAUGCAAGUCGAACGGCAGCGGGGGAGAAGCUUGCUUUUCCUGCCGGCGAGUGGCGAACGGGUGAGUAAUACAUCGGAACGUGCCCUGUAGUGGGGGAUAACUAGUCGAAAGAUUAGCUAAUACCGCAUACGACCUGAGGGUGAAAGUGGGGGACCGCCAGGCCUCAAGCUACAGGACGGGCCGGUGGCUGAUUAGCUGGUUGGUGGGGUAAAGGCCAACCAAGGCGACGAUCAGUAGCUGGUCUGAGAGGACGAUCAGCCACACUGGGACUGAGACACGGCCCAGACUCCUACGGGAGGCAGCAGUGGGGAAUUUUGGACAAUGGGCGAAAGCCUGAUCCAGCAAUGCCGCGUGUGUGAAGAAGGCCUUCGGGUCGUAAAGCACUUUUGUCCGGAAAGAAAUGGCUCUGGUUAAUACCUGGGGUCGAUGACGGUACCGGAAGAAUAAGGACCGGCUAACUACGUGCCAGCCGCCGCUGUAA